GGUAGUGCCAGCGAGUCACGCAUGUGCAGAACGGCCGCCAUCUUUGACAGCUAGCUACGGCAACACCACUUGGACGAAGUGCAAAAACAUACUUUCACCCAGGAAAUGCGUGUUUGUUCCUCGGGAGUGUUUUAAUCCAAACCAUGAUCUUUUUUUCUGAACUUAACUUGUCAUUUCGGUGCCUAACCAUAACUGUUGUGGCCGAA